UCGACUGCAUGAGAUGUGCUCGGUCAUAACUGAAGGCAAUAUAAUGACGCCCACUCACUCUGUCACUGUAUAUAAUUAGAGCUACAUAAUUAUAGACAUAGCUAUACAUAUAUACUACUAGAGAAUGGCUACUGUAACUCUAUUUCUCUGCUGUCUGCUGGGAAGUAUUUCUCUUGUGUAUGGACAACCUCCUUUGACUCGACUGGCAGCAUCCAAUGAGCCCGAUGGCACUGACCACACUGGAGAGAUCAUCUCAUUCUCUGAUGUUGGAUCAGGAGCUAGUGGUCUACCACGCCCCUGGUUUUGCUACACCGAAGACACUGGUAGUGUAUUGUGGCUGUUCCCCAAUGGGAGUGCAUUGCAACUUGAAAGUAGAGUGUUGGCAGUUCAGGACGAAGUGUUCAUCAGAGAUGUUCCUAAUUUUGGCGUUGUUCUGUAUCGUGGUCCCACACACUUCAGUCCUGAUGGAGAACACUGCUGUGUGAGGACUGCCACCAAUGAGAGGAGAUGUGUCACCUUCACUCCCUGCCCCACACUGAGUCCCCUGUCUAAUGGAAGGAUCUCAUACGAUGCAGACACCAACAUAGCCACCUACACCUGUGACCCUGGGUACGCUGUGACGACCAUCUCAUCCAUCACCUGUAAUGAUGUCACAAUGAUGUGGAGUAGCACUGUGAGACCCACUUGUGAACUCAGCACCACUACCUGCUCUGACUUGCCUGCUCCAACCAAUGGAAUGAUUGGCUAUAAUGCGGAGACCAUGAAUACUAGACCAGUGAACACCGUGGCCACCUUCACAUGUAACACUGGAUACACUGUGACUGGUGAUAUGACCAGGACUUGUGGGGCUGGUGGAAUGUGGAGUGGGACUAAUCCAACAUGUACUCCUGUUGACUGUGGCCCCCUUACUGACCCCACCAAUGGAAUGAUUACUUUAUCCACUACCACGUUUGAGAGCACAGCUACCUACUCUUGUAACAGUGGAUACAACAUUGUUGGUAGUGAGAGCAGAACUUGUGGAGCAAGUGGAACAAGUGGAGCAACUACACUAACUGAUGGAGUGUGGAGUCCAGCUGCACCAGUUUGUGAAAUGAUUUGUCCAGACCUCACCAUCCCAGCCAAUGGAGCACUUGUAUACAGUGACACCACCAUCCCCAGAGCUGAGGGCUCCACGGCUACCUACACCUGUACCACUGGCUACCAGGUGACUGGACUGAUGGUGAGGACGUGUAGUGUCAGUGGAUGGAGCACUGGAGAUGACCCUGUCUGUACUGUGCUCAGAUGCCCAGGGGGAACCUAUCAAGAAGAGUUGUCCACUGGAGAGAGUGCUUGUGUGCCUUGUCCUGGAAACAGCGCCAGCAUUGUUGAAAAUAGUGUGGAGUGUACCUGUUUUCGCGGCUACUACAGGACAGCAUUGGAGGGACCAAAUAUUCCAUGUUCAACUCCUCCGAACAACUGUGAGAGUUUGCAAGCAGUUGCUGAGAGGACUCGAGGUAACACAAUCACUGUGCGUUGGGAGAGGCCAGAGAUCACUGGGAGAGACGACUUGUACUACAACAUAUUCUACUCUGAGGACAACCAGACCUUCACUCAACACAACAGGAGGCCGUAUGUGAAACAUGACUCCCUGGUGGACUACUCAGUGUCUGAUCUGCAGCCACUCACCACCUACACCAUCCGAGUGAUCCCUGAGAAUGGAGUGAGUAUUCAGGAAGAGGGAGGGCAGAGCAGGAGCUGUGAGGUCGUUGCCAGGACUGGGGAUACAAGGUCUAACGCCCCCUCCCUGGUGAUUGGUUUCUGCACUGUUGUGGUUUGGACCACGCCCACAAGGUCGUAUGGGAGGAUCACUGGCUAUGACGUCAGGUUCAUUCCUCAAGGGUCUGGUUCAGAUCUGGUGGUGUCUAAAGGAAGAAGAGAACUUUUCCACGCAGUUGAAGAUACUAGGCUAGUCACCACUGACAACGUCAUGGUACAGGUGCGAGCAAAAACGUCAGCUGCAGAGGGGAGGUGGAGUGAGCUGGUGCCACUGGAUUGCAGGAAUGCUGAUGGUUUCACUGGCCCUCUAUGAAUGAAUCACUGAUGAAUGAAUGAGACUUCCGAUUAACAAUCUAAGCACAGUUUGUACGUGCGAAUGGUGACGCCCACUCAGUCACUAAAUGGUAACUAUGGCCUUCUCAAGACUUGCUCUGAUACUACUAGGACUGACAGUGUCUGUUGGAUGGGUACAUGCACAAACACCAGAAACACUGACUCGACUAGCAUCACCCAAUGAGCCCCCUGGCGCUGACCACACUGGAGAGAUCAUCUCGUUCUCUGAUGUUGGAUCAAGAGUUGGUACUGAUCCACGAGCCUGGUAUUGCUACACCGGAGUCACUGGUGGUGUAGUGUGGCAGGGUCCUGGUGAGAGCACAUUGCCCAUAGUUUUUGACAGGGAUGCAGUUGAGGACGAACUGUUCAUCAGUGCUGUUAAUCCUGCUGGAGGCGUUGUUCUGCAUCGUGGUCCUGAUCACUACAGUCCUCGUGGAGAACACUGCUGUGUGAGGGUUCCUGAUGGCCCUGCACAUGCAGACUCCCUGCCCCACACUGAGUCCACUGCCUAAUGGAAUGAUCUCAUACGAUGCAACCACCAACAUGGCCACCUACACCUGCGACACUGGGUACACCAUCAGUGGAGCUACUCCGAUAACUUGUAUGAGUACUGGUAUACUAG